CGAUUGUGCAUGUAAUCCUGGAGACUUAUGGCUUCAGACAGUGUAUUUGCACCAAGGCUAUGAUCAGCAAGGCUGCUUUGAAAUAUGAUGGCAAGUCCAAGAGACGACCAGGCUGCAAGAGGGAGUGAGAGUGGAGGAGGAAGUGAUAGCUUCAGAGAAAGAAGGACAAAGGCAGAAGGGGAGGGAUGUCAAGAGGAGAGAAAUAAAUAAAAACGAUAACAUUGUUUAAGAAAACAGGUAUGUGAGUUUCAACAGAGAAAGGGAGAAAGACAGAAAAGGAAAGUAAGCUAGUGUCUGAAAUCAAAAUAAAAUGUAAAAGACCACUGAAUCAUUUCUGCUAUUACUUUCAUUGCAUUAACAAAAUGCAGGAACAGCAGGUAACACAAAAAUCCUCAUAUUUCACAAAGAAUGACUUUGCUGAAAAGAAUCUUUGGCCUUACUGAGUGCCAAUCAAUAACAGAGCUCAUCCUACCAGAACAAUAGAAAAAAAUCGCUCAUAUGUUGCCUAGUUUGGGUUUUCCCUUUUCUUUUCUUUUCUUUUUUUUUUUUCUUUUUUUUCUUUUUUUUGAGUGAAUUGAGGGACAGUCACCAUCUUUGCCUCUCUUUAGUGCAUGGUUAAUCAAAAGUAGCGUCUUCCUCUAUUAAAACUUCCUUACACCCUCUUUCCUUCUAUGACCUUGAAAUUGUUCUUUCUCUGCCAUCAUCAAGGAUUUGCCAGCUUCCAAAUCGAAGAAACGAGGAGGUUUCUGUAGGAGCCUGGAGCAGGGAAUGACAGACAUGUUUUAUCACAUGGCUGACAAAAGAUCAUAGACUCUAAGCUGGUGACAGUUUUUUCCCUACAGUGCUCAUAGAAACCAACACAUGAUACCGUUAGUUCAUAUGCAGCAUACUGUGCCUUUGAACAAACCUACCAGAUUAGCUAUAUAUUGUAAUGUCAGUGUUGUUGUUGUGUCAUAGUAAUUUGUGUUUUAUCUUAGUAAAGACACACUCAUUUCAAAAAUUUACUUUAAAACAGCAAUAUUAAUUAAUAU
ensembl:lncRNA